rnacentral:rRNA from 1 species
GAUGAACGCUAGCUACAGGCUUAACACAUGCAAGUCGAGGGGCAGCAUUUCAGUUUGCUUGCAAACUGGAGAUGGCGACCGGCGCACGGGUGAGUAACACGUAUCCAACCUGCCGAUAACUCGGGGAUAGCCUUUCGAAAGAAAGAUUAAUACCCGAUGGUAUAAUCAGACCGCAUGGUCUUGUUAUUAAAGAAUUUCGGUUAUCGAUGGGGAUGCGUUCCAUUAGGCAGUUGGUGAGGUAACGGCUCACCAAACCUUCGAUGGAUAGGGGUUCUGAGAGGAAGGUCCCCCACAUUGGAACUGAGACACGGUCCAAACUCCUACGGGAGGCAGCAGUGAGGAAUAUUGGUCAAUGGGCGCAGGCCUGAACCAGCCAAGUAGCGUGAAGGAUGACUGCCCUAUGGGUUGUAAACUUCUUUUAUAUGGGAAUAAAGUUUUCCACGUGUGGAAUUUUGUAUGUACCAUAUGAAUAAGGAUCGGCUAACUCCGUGCCAGCAGCCGCGGUAAUACGGAGGAUCCGAGCGUUAUCCGGAUUUAUUGGGUUUAAAGGGAGCGUAGGUGGACAGUUAAGUCAGUUGUGAAAGUUUGCGGCUCAACCGUAAAAUUGCAGUUGAUACUGGCUGUCUUGAGUACAGUAGAGGUGGGCGGAAUUCGUGGUGUAGCGGUGAAAUGCUUAGAAAUCACGAAGAACUCCGAUUGCGAAGGCAGCUCACUGGACUGCAACUGACACUGAUGCUCGAAAGUGUGGGUAUCAAACAGGAUUAGAUACCCUGGUAGUCCACACAGUAAACGAUGAAUACUCGCUGUUUGCGAUAUACAGUAAGCGGCCAAGCGAAAGCAUUAAGUAUUCCACCUGGGGAGUACGCCGGCAACGGUGAAACUCAAAGGAAUUGACGGGGGCCCGCACAAGCGGAGGAACAUGUGGUUUAAUUCGAUGAUACGCGAGGAACCUUACCCGGGCUUAAAUUGCAUUUGAAUAUAUUGGAAACAGUAUAGCCGUAAGGCAAAUGUAAAGGUGCUGCAUGGUUGUCGUCAGCUCGUGCCGUGAGGUGUCGGCUUAAGUGCCAUAACGAGCGCAACCCUUAUCUUUAGUUACUAACAGGUCAUGCUGAGGACUCUAGAGAGACUGCCGUCGUAAGAUGUGAGGAAGGUGGGGAUGACGUCAAAUCAGCACGGCCCUUACGUCCGGGGCUACACACGUGUUACAAUGGGGGGUACAGAAGGCAGCUACCUGGUGACAGGAUGCUAAUCCCAAAAGCCUCUCUCAGUUCGGAUCGAAGUCUGCAACCCGACUUCGUGAAGCUGGAUUCGCUAGUAAUCGCGCAUCAGCCAUGGCGCGGUGAAUACGUUCCCGGGCCU